rnacentral:rRNA from 1 species
CGUCUUAACUGACCUCCCCAUCCCUUCACAAUCCACAUACACCUGUGCACUGUUUUGGCUUUUGAGCAAUCGAAAGCCAAUCAUUUUAUACAAACUCUUAGUUUAAUGAAUGUAACCGUUUUAUAUAAACAAAAUAAAACUUUCAACAACGGAUCUCUUGGUUCUCGCAUCGAUGAAGAACGCAGCGAAAUGCGAUAAGUAAUGUGAAUUGCAGAAUUCAGUGAAUCAUCGAAUCUUUGAACGCACCUUGCGCUCCUUGGUAUUCCGAGGAGCAUGCCUGUUUGAGUGUCAUGAAACCCUCAACCUCUGACUUUCUUAAUCGUCGGUCAGCGGCUUGGACUUGGGUGUCUGCCGGUCUUCAUUGAUCGGCUCACCUGAAAUAUAUUAGCGAAUCCCUUCUGUAAUCGGUUCCACUCGACGUGAUAAGUAUUUCGUCGAGGACAUCUUUAUUGAUGGCCGAGAUAAAGCUGGUUCUAGAUCUGCUUCUAACUCUUUCGUUGCCUUCUUGGUAAAGAAAAACCCCUCAUGAUCUGGCCUCAAAUCAGGUAGGACUACCCGCUGAACUUAAGCAUAUCAAUAAGCGGAGGAAAAGAAACUAACAAGGAUUCCCCUAGUAACGGCGAGUGAAGCGGGAUGAGCUCAAAUUUAAAAUCUGGCUGCCUCAGGUGGUCCGAGUUGUAGUCUCGAGAAGUGUUUUCCGCGUUGGCCUGUGUACAAGUCCUUUGGAAUAAGGCGUCAUAGAGGGUGAGAAUCCCGUCCUUGACACAGAUCCCCAAUGCUUUGUGAUGCGCUCUCAAAGAGUCGAGUUGUUUGGGAAUGCAGCUCAAAAUGGGUGGUAAAUUCC